AUGCAUAUCAUAGGGAGAAGAGCAUUGGUGAGAAAUGUCCUAUCUGCAAUACCAACUUUUGCUCUCUCUGUCCUUCGGCCGCCAAAGCUUCUUUUCAAAGAGAUCGAUAAAGCUCGUAGAAAGUUUCUUUGGGCACAAGAGGAGGAGCUCAGUGGUGGCAAGUGCAAGGUCGCCUGGAGAAAUGUCUGCACACCCACUGAACAUGGAGGCCUUGGCAUCCAUGACCUGCAGAAAUUCUCCCGCGCCCUGCGCCUUCGGUGGUUGUGGCUGUCAUGGCAAAAUGAGGACAAACAUUGGAAGGGAUCAGAGCUACCGUGUGACAAGGAGGACAAGGAAAUGUUUGACAAUGCAACCACUGUAACCAUCGGAAACGGCAGAACAGCUUCCUUUUGGCAAUCGCCAUGGAUCACCUCUCCAAGCCUUGCCAUCCUGUUCCCGAAGCUGUUCAAGAGAUCACGAGGAAAAAACAAGUGCGUUGCCGACGCGCUUGAAAAUGAUAAGUGGGUGCUGGACAUCAAGAUACGCCCCAACGAACAACUGAUUCACAGUUUCAUCAUCCUCUGGAGAGCUCUACGGGCCCAACCGGUGUCUCUGCAACUCCAGGUGGAAGAUAAAAUCUCCUGGCAUCUUCACAGUGCUGGCGUAUACAGCGCAAAAUCAGGUUACAAGGCACAAUUCAGAAACCUACCGAAGACAGAGGAUAAGCAAAUCAUAUGGAAAACUUGGGCACCCGGAAACAUAAAGGUUUUCUUCUGGCUACUGCUCAAAAACCGGCUCUGGAGCAAUGAUAGGCUCCAACGCAGAGGCUGGGAGAACGGGUACUUCUGCACUUUAUGCACAAGAAACCUAGAGACAUCAGUGCAUAUUUUUUGGGAUUGCCUGGUCAGUAAGGAGAUAUGGAGAAGGAUCUCAGCCUGGAAUGACUGCGCCAGGCUCAUGCGCAUCGCCUCAUCCUCAGAUCACCUCACCUCCUCCAUUUGCAGAAUGCGCAAUCUCAUCAAACAAUCAAGGCCAAGACUCAGAGAAAGGCUCAAGACGAUGAUCUUCCUUGUCACAUGGCACAUCUGGAAGGAG
rnacentral:rRNA from 1 species